CAGUCGCCGCGGGAAAACGUAGGUGGCAAGCGUUGUCCGGAAUUAUUGGGCGUAAAGGGCCCGCAGGCGGUUUCUUAAGUCUGAUGUGAAAGCCCCCGGCUCAACCGGGGAGGGUCAUUGGAAACUGGGAAACUUGAGUGCAGAAGAGGAGAGUGGAAUUCCACGUGUAGCGGUGAAAUGCGUAGAGAUGUGGAGGAACACCAGUGGCGAAGGCGACUCUCUGGUCUGUAACUGACGCUGAGGAGCGAAAGCGUGGGGAGCGAACGGGAUUAGAUACCCGAGUAGUCCCUGUCUCUUAUAC
rnacentral:rRNA from 1 species